CAAGUCGAGCGAACAGACGAGGAGCUUGCUCCUUUGACGUUAGCGGCGGACGGGUGAGUAACACGUAGGUAACCUACCUAUAAGACUGGGAUAACUUCGGGAAACCGGAGCUAAUACCGGAUAAUAUUUCGAACCGCAUGGUUCGAUAGUGAAAGAUGGCUUUGCUAUCACUUAUAGAUGGACCUGCGCCGUAUUAGCUAGUUGGUAAGGUAACGGCUUACCAAGGCAACGAUACGUAGCCGACCUGAGAGGGUGAUCGGCCACACUGGAACUGAGACACGGUCCAGACUCCUACGGGAGGCAGCAGUAGGGAAUCUUCCGCAAUGGGCGAAAGCCUGACGGAGCAACGCCGCGUGAGUGAUGAAGGUCUUCGGAUCGUAAAACUCUGUUAUUAGGGAAGAACAAACGUGUAAGUAACUGUGCACGUCUUGACGGUACCUAAUCAGAAAGCCACGGCUAACUACGUGCCAGCAGCCGCGGUAAUACGUAGGUGGCAAGCGUUAUCCGGAAUUAUUGGGCGUAAAGCGCGCGUAGGCGGUUUUUUAAGUCUGAUGUGAAAGCCCACGGCUCAACCGUGGAGGGUCAUUGGAAACUGGAAAACUUGAGUGCAGAAGAGGAAAGUGGAAUUCCAUGUGUAGCGNUGAAAUUCG
rnacentral:rRNA from 1 species